rfam:Clostridium ultunense Esp genomic scaffold, CTLT_3033
UACUCCAUCCAUUCGGAGUAAUCCUAUCGUGACUAGCGAAGAUGGUAACGUCUAGGUUAGAAAGCUCACGAAACAAUGAGGAAAUUCUAGAAGCCCAAAUCUGGAACGACUA